rnacentral:rRNA from 1 species
UACGUAGGGGGCAAGCGUUGUCCGGAAUUAUUGGGCGUAAAGCGCGCGCAGGCGGCUUUGUAAGUCUAGUGUUUAAUCUCGGAGCUCAACUCCGAUUCGCACCGGAAACUGCAAGGCUUGAGUACAGAAGAGGAAAGUGGAAUUCCACGUGUAGCGGUGAAAUGCGUAGAGAUGUGGAGGAACACCAGUGGCGAAGGCGACUUCUGGGCUGUAACUGACGCUGAGGCGGCGAAAGCGAUGGGGAGCCAA